CCGGACGUCUUAAAUUCCUUAAACCCACCGUAAAAAGCCAACUUUCUUUCUCUGUUGUUCGACUCCACUUUUCCACCACGUAGCUUCACGUCUUUUCUUUAGCAGAAGCCGCCGGAAACUGAAGAUGAAAGCAAAAACCUCUAUGACACUAAUGUGUAGAUUGUGAGAGUGGGAACUAGCUAGGGUGAGCGAAGGAAACCGAAGACUGUCUCUGCUGCGAUGAACCUGAGGCAGCGCCCUACUGCCACGCGCGACCCUGGCGUACUCCACGCGCCGCCACCGUUUCAGGAUGUUUACAACAUAAUCCCAAUACACAACCUUUUAACUGACCACCCCUCCCUAAGGUGCCCCGAGGUUCGUGCUGCAGCGGCGGCUCUUCGUACCGUCGGGGAUCUCCGGAAGCCUCCGUUUGUUCAGUGGGACCCGCGGAUGGAUUUGCUGGACUGGCUUGGUGUCUUAUUCGGCUUCCAGAGCGACAACGUACGGAACCAGCGGGAGCACCUUGUUCUCCACCUCGCUAAUUCCCAAAUGCGGCUCGAGGUACCCACGCAGGAUCCUGACACACUCAACGCCAAUGUUCUCCGUCGAUUCCGCCGCAAAUUGCUCCAUAACUACACAUCGUGGUGCUCUUAUCUUGGCCGUAGAUCGCAGGUUUUCUUAUCCGGCCGUCGGGGGAACACUGAUCAGCGCCGCGAGCUUCUAUACGUUUCGCUUUACUUGCUAAUUUGGGGAGAAUCUGGAAACUUGCGGUUCGCGCCGGAACUGAUUUGCUACAUUUAUCACCACAUGGCGAUUGAGCUAAAUCAGGUACUGGAUGAUUAUAUAGAUCGAGACACUGGUAGGCCUUUCUUACCUUCUUUGUCUGGGGACUGCGCGUUUUUGAGAUGUAUAGUAAUGCCAUUUUAUGAUACCAUAAAGACGGAGAUGGAGAGCAGUAGAAAUGGCACUGCACCGCAUUCGGCCUGGAGGAACUAUGAUGAUAUAAACGAGUAUUUUUGGAGCAAGAGGUGUUUAGAAAGAUUGAAAUGGCCUAUCGAUUUUAGCAGUAAUUUCUUCGCUACUGUUAUUAAGAGUAAGCGAGUCGGGAAGACAGGUUUUGUUGAGCAGAGGUCAUUUUGGAAUUUGUUUAGGAGCUUUGACAAGCUCUGGGUUUUGUUGACUCUAGUUUUGCAGGCUUCUCUUAUUGUUGCCUGGGAAGGCACAGAGUAUCCAUGGCAGGCCCUAGAGCGUCGUGAUGUGCAGGUGGAGCUUUUGACUGUUUUCAUGACUUGGGGUGGGCUUAGGUUCUGGCAAUCCGUUCUUGAUGCUGGGACGCAGUAUAGCUUGGUUUCGAGGGAGACUGUGUGGCUUGGCGUUAGAAUGUUAUUGAAAAGCAUGGUUGCAUUGACAUGGACGGUUGUCUUUGGGGUUUUUUAUGGAAAGAUUUGGAGUCAAAAGAAUGCUGAUGGAUAUUGGUCCAAUGAGGCCAAUGAGAGGAUUAUAACUUUUCUUGAAGCAGUCUUGGUGUUUGUUAUACCUGAGUUGUUGGCAUUGGUGCUCUUCGUACUCCCAUGGAUUAGGAAUUUGCUUGAGGAGUUGGAUUGGAGGGUAAUGUACUUGUUGACAUGGUGGUUUCACACACGGAUUUUUGUAGGACGGGGGAUGAGGGAAGGCCUUGUUAAUAAUAUCAAGUAUACAUUGUUCUGGAUUUUGGUAUUGGCUUCAAAGAUUAUAUUCAGUUACUUUUUUCAAAUCAGGCCCCUGGUUGGCCCAACAAGGGCCCUUCUAAAGCUUAAUGGUGCUAGGUACAAUUGGCAUGAGUUUUUUGGUAGCACUAAUGAGAUUGCAGUUAUAUUGUUAUGGCUUCCUGUUGUUCUAGUCUACUUGAUGGAUUUGCAAAUAUGGUAUUCUAUAUUCUCCUCCUUUGUUGGUGCAGUGGUUGGGCUGUUUUCACAUUUGGGUGAAAUUAGGAAUAUCGAACAGCUUAGACUUAGGUUUCAGUUCUUCGCUGGUGCAAUGCAAUUUAAUCUAAUGCCAGAGGACAAUUUGCUAAGUCCAAAGAUGACACUGGUGAAGAAGCUUCGUGAUGCAAUCCAUCGACUGAAAUUGAGAUAUGGACUUGGUCAGCCUUACAAGAAGAUUGAAUCAAGCCAAGUAGAGGCCACCAGGUUUGCCUUAAUAUGGAAUGAGAUAAUCACGACUUUCAGGGAGGAAGACAUUAUCGGUGAUGGAGAGCAAGAACUAAUGGAACUGCCACCAAAUUGUUGGGGCAUUAGGGUAAUUCGUUGGCCAUGCUUCCUCCUUGGCAAUGAGCUGCUGAUCGCACUUAGUCAGGCAACAGAGCUGGCAACUGCGCCUGACCGGUGGCUUUGGUUGAAGAUAUGCAAGAGCGAGUAUAGGCGGUGUGCUAUCAUUGAAGCGUAUGAUAGCAUUAAAUACUUGCUUCUUAAGAUUGUUAAAUAUGACACAGAAGAGCAUUCCAUUGUUGGAAAUUUUUUCUCCGAGUUGGAUAACUACAUCCAUAUUGAAAAAUUCACUGAGGUGUACAAGAUGACCCUGCUGCCACAGAUUCAUUCUAAAGUAGUAUUACUUGUUGAGCUUCUGAUGAAACCAAAGAAGGAUCAUGGUAAAGCAGUGAAUAUUAUGCAGGCCUUAUAUGAACUUUCUGUACGUGAAUUUCCCAGGGUGAAAAAGCCCAUUCUGCAGUUGAUACAGGAAGGUCUGGCCCCUCAACAUCCGUCCACCGAUGCCGGGUUGCUCUUUGAAAAUGCUAUUGAUUUUGGUGAUUCUGGAGAUGAAAUAUUUAAUAGGCGACUACGGCGUUUGCAAACAAUUCUUACUGCAAAAGACUCCAUGCAUAAUGUUCCAAAGAGUCUUGAGGCGAGACGCCGAAUUGCUUUCUUCAGCAACUCACUCUUUAUGAACAUGCCACAUGCUCCUCAUAUUGAGAAGAUGGUGGCAUUCAGUGUUCUGACUCCUUAUUAUGAUGAAGAGGUAUUGUAUGGGAAAGAAAUGCUCCGGAGUGAGAACGAGGAUGGCAUUUCCACCCUGUUUUAUUUGCAGAAAAUCUAUGAAGAUGAGUGGACAAAUUUUCUAGAGCGGAUGCGCAGGGAAGGCAUGGAGCAUGAUGAUGAAAUCUGGACCACAAAGGUGAGGGAUCUACGUCUCUGGGCUUCAUAUAGAGGGCAGACAUUAUCCCGAACUGUGAGGGGUAUGAUGUACUAUUAUAGGGCUCUUAAGAUGCUCGCCUUCCUUGAUUCUGCUUCUGAGAUGGACAUUCGAAUGGGAUAUCAAGAAAUUGCUUCUCAUAAUUCGUUAAAGCAAACCCGUGGUUUGGAUGGCCUAAACUCGAUUAAGCCUCCAUCUUCCCAGAAACUGAGCAGAGCAAGCAGCAAUGUCAGUCUUUUGUUUAAGGGGCAUGAGGAUGGGAGUGCUCUAAUGAAAUUCACAUAUGUGCUCACCUGCCAGGUAUAUGGACAGCAUAAGGCGAAGGGAGAUCGCCGUGCUGAGGAGAUUUUGUUUUUGUUGAAAACCAACAAAGCACUUCGAGUUGCUUAUGUUGAUGAGGUGCUGUUGGGGAGGGGAGAGAUGGAAUAUUAUUCGGUUCUUGUGAAGUACGAUCAGGAGCUGCAAAGGGAGGUUGAAAUUUAUAGGAUCAGGUUGCCUGGUCCCUUGAAACUGGGAGAAGGCAAGCCAGAAAAUCAGAACCAUGCCAUCGUCUUCACUCGCGGUGAUGCGCUGCAGACAAUUGAUAUGAACCAAGACAAUUAUUUUGAGGAGACACUCAAGAUGCGGAAUUUGCUCGAGGAAUUCAAUAACUAUUAUGGCAUUAGGAAGCCUACCAUUCUUGGUGUCCGGGAGAAUAUCUUCACAGGGUCAGUAUCUUCACUGGCUUGGUUCAUGUCUGCUCAGGAAACUAGUUUUGUAACGCUUGGGCAACGUGUUUUGGCUAACCCUUUGAAGGUGCGAAUGCACUAUGGCCACCCGGAUGUGUUUGAUAGAUUCUGGUUCUUACCUCGUGGUGGAAUGAGCAAGGCUUCUCGAGUGAUAAAUAUUAGCGAGGAUAUAUUUGCAGGUUUUAACUGCACUCUGCGAGGUGGCAAUGUGACACACCAUGAGUAUAUUCAGGUGGGUAAGGGAAGGGAUGUUGGGUUGAAUCAAGUCUCCAUGUUUGAGGCCAAGGUCGCCAGCGGCAAUGGGGAGCAGGUUUUGAGUAGAGAUGUAUACAGGUUAGGUCAUAGGUUGGAUUUCUUUCGGAUGCUUUCUUUUUUCUACACAACUGUGGGAUAUUAUUUCAACACUUUGGUCAUAGUAUUAACGGUCUAUGCAUUCUUGUGGGGCCGCCUUUAUCUUGCUCUCAGUGGUGUUGAGGAUGUAGCCAUGAACAAUAGCAGCAGCAAUAAAGCCCUUGGUGCAAUUUUGAAUCAGCAGUUUAUUAUCCAGCUUGGCAUCUUCACUGCCCUCCCAAUGAUUGUGGAGAAUUCCCUUGAGCAUGGGUUUCUUCCAGCGGUUUGGGACUUUCUGAUGAUGCAGUUGCAGCUUGCAUCACUCUUUUACACGUUCUCGAUGGGAACUCGUACCCAUUUCUUUGGUCGGACAAUUCUUCAUGGGGGAGCUAAGUAUCGAGCAACAGGGCGAGGUUUUGUGGUGGAACACAAGAGUUUUGCUGAAAAUUAUAGACUUUAUGCUCGAAGCCAUUUUGUGAAAGCAAUUGAACUGGGGGUUAUUCUAACGGUAUAUGCUUCUCAUAGCCCCUUGAGUAAGAAUACUUUUGUUUACAUACUGAUGACGAUUUCAAGCUGGUUCCUGGUGGUGUCGUGGAUAAUGUCUCCCUUUGUGUUUAAUCCCUCUGGCUUCGAUUGGUUAAAAACUGUUUAUGACUUUAAUGGUUUCAUGAAUUGGAUUUGGUAUAGCGGUGGGGGGCUUGCCAAAGCAGACCAGAGCUGGGAAACGUGGUGGUAUGAGGAACAAGAUCAUCUGAGAACGACUGGUCUUUGGGGGAAACUGUUGGAGAUUAUAUUGGAUCUUCGUUUCUUCUUCUUCCAAUAUGGUGUUGUGUAUCAGUUGAAAAUUUCAGGCGGAAACACCAGUGUAGCUGUUUACUUGCUGUCUUGGAUAUACAUGGUGGUUGCUGUUGGGAUUUAUGUGAUCAUAGGUUAUGCCCGGGACAGAUAUGCUGUUAAGGAGCACAUCUAUUAUCGGCUAGUGCAGCUUCUUGUCAUUCUGGUUACAGUGCUUGUGAUUGUUUUAUUUAUGGAGUUCACCAAGUUCCAGUUUCUUGACCUUGUGACAAGUCUUCUAGCAUUUAUUCCCACUGGUUGGGGCCUUAUAUCUAUUGCUCUGGUGCUAAGACCUUUCCUUCAGACCACUGUGGUAUGGGACACUGUGGUGUCCUUGGCUCGACUCUAUGACUUGCUGUUUGGAGUGAUUGUAAUGGCUCCUGUAGCAUUGCUUUCAUGGCUUCCUGGAUUACAAUCCAUGCAGACUAGGAUUUUAUUCAACGAGGCAUUCAGCAGGGGCCUCAAGAUAUCGCUUAUUCUCACUGGCAAAAAGAUGAAUUGACACAAUUCAAGGUAAAUAACAAUUGUGCACAAGACUUCCGCAAUGGGCAGGUUCAAGGACAUGCAAGAUGUACUUAGACCUUACCCCAUAUAAUAUGUGGAGAGAUUAUUUCCAAGAAUUGAACGUAUGACCUUCUGGUUGCACCUCUGCAACUCUAUCACUGGCCACAUUUCAUCUGUAAAGGUGAGCCUACUGCCUAGAGAGCUAAAAAUGGAUAUAUUGGACUUUUCAGACCGAGGAUGGUUCAUAGCAUACGUUCUGCUCCGGCAACUAAUUAUCAUGAGGACCAAAGCUGCUGAGUUCUGAGAAAGGACGAUUUGGAGUUCAAACCUUUUGAUUGGCUGUCUCUUCUAACAAAAUCUAUUCUCAUUAGGGUGUUGCACAUAAAUUUCCUGUUAGGUGUUCAUUCUAAUUAUUUUGACAGCAAUGGAACACUAUUUCCACCAACAGUUUCAGUCCUUCGCUAGCAGAGAGUUGUAUGUAUAUAUAAACCCGUGCAUAUCUCAGCUGUAUUGAUGUAUGUCAGUUUGAUUAUACACCUCUGUAAUGCUGACCUGCUACCUUCUCGCACUUCAAACCUGAACACCAUGAGUUUGGUCUGGUAUUGCAUCAUUAUCAAGUGCAAA